rnacentral:rRNA from 1 species
UACGUAGGGUGCGAGCGUUGCCCGGAAUUAUUGGGCGUAAAGAGCUCGUAGGCGGUUUGUUGCGUCGGCUGUGAAAUCCCGAGGCUCAACCUCGGGUCUGCAGUCGAUACGAGCAAACUAGAGUGUUGCAGGGGAGACUGGAAUUCCUGGUGUAGCGGUGAAAUGCGCAGAUAUCAGGAGGAACACCGGUGGCGAAGGCGGGUCUCUGGGACGGUACUGACGCUGAGACGCGAAAGCGUGGGGAGCGAACAGG